ensembl:lncRNA
GGUCUUUUUGUGUGGACUUAUCUCAAGGAAAAUGGCCAUCUCAGGAGGUAUGCACAGGACUCUUGCUCAAGCACCCAGGAAUGUCACGUAGGCAGCAGAAAAUGGAGGAUAAAAGAGGGUCCAAUAACCACAACGGUGGAAGCUGAUCCUUCACCACAACCACGGCAACGGGAGAGGCUUAUCUCUCACCACGACAGACUUGAGGGGUUCUCUGCCAACUGAUCUCUCACCGCAACGUGUAGACGGAUCUCUACGUGGAGACUGAUCUCUCACCACGGCACGAGCUUCCUGCCUUCCGAUCCUCCUCUACGGACCGUUUGCUGACGGACUUCCCUGGGCCCGCUACCUGAGACCUGCUGCUUCCUCCCUGACCUGCAUCCUCUCGCUGCCCCAGACCGGCCUCGCUGCUCCUGCCCUUCGGCCUCGGACUGUCGGAACGUCGUGCAACGGGACUGCUGCCGGAUCCUGGUGGAAAAGUUCCAGAGAAGGACGGAAUAGUCUGAUGUCACCAACUUGAAAAGCACAUGAAGAAAUAUAAUAUUGGAAGAACCACAGGAAAUAUUUGCUAAAGACAAGAAUUGAUUGAGAAGAUGAACAAAUAUUUUCAAAAUAUCUGUAAUAUAUACAGAUAUAGAUCUUGUCCAAACAGGAACAUGACAGAAGAGGACAGGAUGAUAAAAAUAGUCUGAAUUCGUUUUCCAACAGCUUUAGAGAUGAAGAUUUUUGCAAAAAAGCACUGUGUGGCAAUCACACUUGAAGGCUUACAGCCAAUUGCUCAGCUUCAGCUAAAUUUUGUAGGGUGAAAGGUGUGUCACAAUUGAAUUUUCUGAAGUCUUAUAAGAAUGGGCUUGGACAAAGAAAGGAGGAAAAUCAACAUUUUCUGACAAAGGAAAAAAGAUCCAUCGGGACAGUAGGCAUUACCAGAAACUGGACAAACUACCUUUUUAAACUUCAGAGUUGAUCAAACUCACGUGAAACUAUCUUCCAUGCAUGGAACAUACAUUAUUAGUCAUGAAGGAGUCAUUGUUAAAAAAGUAGAGAUACAUGUUUUAUAACUAUGUAUGUACAUGUAUACGCAUGCACACAUGUGGAUAUGUAGGUUGCUCCAAAAGUAGUGCCUCCUAUUUAUUUCCAUAUAAACUACAACAGAUAGAAAGAGCACUGUAACAUGUUUGAUUGAGAAAAUUCACAGCUACAAAAUAAUUUUUUUUUCUAUAUAGUCACCACCAUGAGCUAUGCAUUUUUGCCAGCAAUGGAGAAGAGCCUGCAUGCUGCACUCAUAAAACCUUCACCAGCAGAGGUGACCCAGUGUCACUGUCACCACUGCUGAAAUGCACCACCCACCAUCUCACUGAGCUCACAUCCACUGUUAGUCUCUGUAAACAUUCAGUGUCAAUGAAUGUCAAUGGGUGCCAUUUUUUCCACAUGAAGGAAUUCAGUGCCACACCUUUGCUUCAUAAGCACUUCAAUUUCAGAUGCCCCUGACACUGUGCGACAACAUAAUAAAAUAGGAGGCAUUACUUUCAGAGCAACCCUCAUACAAUCGUUUAUGUAAAGAGGUAGAUUUUGAGUCUUUGUUCUCUGUUCAUCCCACAUUACCAUUAAAUUUCUUAUUAUUUGGAAUAACAUCAUAUAUCAUAUCAGCUCUUCAGGGAAUAACUCUAUCCUGUGUCAUGAUUGCAAUCGUUUUGUCUGGAAAACGGAGAAUACAAAUGUGGCUUCUUGAUAUAUUAAAGAAAAAAAUACAAUGAUAAUAUUAAUAAAAGUGGUAUUUAUUUUUGAAGUGGACAGCUGCCUACAUAGAAUUCCAGACUUGAUUAAUUUCUUUAACUUACUACUCUUCUAAACCUUAUCAAUUUUUUCUUAAGCACACUUUUACUACUUAACUACAUCAGCUGUAUUGAAAGUACAUUCCAACUCUUAGCACUUUAUCUCGUAAUGACUUUCUGAAUUCUUUUUGUAUGUAUGUAUAUUUUCUUUAUCAUUUAAACUGCAUUCUAGCUGGUCUGAAAGCUCAGAAAGAUAAUCAAGCUUAACUUUGAAGGACAUCAUAGAUAAUAUAACUCUGCCUUUGAAGAGUUUCAUGCUAAAUUUGAGGCUUGAACUUAAUGAGCAAUUUAUAAAACUGACUUUUUCACAUGUUAAGAUGAAAUCUCCAUGUGUUCUUUAGCCGUAGACUUAAUAUGGAAACUUCUAUAAUACUUCUAUUCAUGUUUUUCUACUUUGAGUGCCUUUCAGUAGUGUGUUAAGCAAUGACUUCUAUCUGGAACCUAUGACAAUUUCCUUCAUCCCUUCUUGCAUGUGAAGGCUUUCUUUCUUUCAUAUGGAUCAUGUAUUAUACAUUUUGACUACUGAAAACUAGGUCACAAAGGGCAUUGUGAAUGCAGAAAAGUUGGUGAGGUUGGAUUUAUAAGAAUUCUUACUAAAGUCUCGGAAAAGC